rnacentral:tRNA from 1 species
UUCCCUGUGGUCCAGUGGGGUUAGGAAUCUGUACUUUCACUGCUGAGGGCACAGGUUCAAUCCCUGGUUGGGAAA